rnacentral:rRNA from 1 species
AACACGUGGGGAACCUGCCCCAUAGUCUGGGAUACCACUUGGAAACAGGUGCUAAUACCGGAUAAGAAAGCGGAUCGCAUGAUCAGCUUUUAAAAGGCGGCGUAAGCUGUCGCUAUGGGAUGGCCCCGCGGUGCAUUAGCUAGUUGGUAAGGUAAAGGCUUACCAAGGCGAUGAUGCAUAGCCGAGUUGAGAGACUGGUCGGCCACAUUGGGACUGAGACACGGCCCAAACUCCUACGGGAGGCAGCAGCU